UGCAGAUGCGUCCCUUACCUUCGGGUCGAGGUUGAUUACACGGCUAUGUUUCUGUCUUACCUUCCAGUCUUGGUCAGAACAAUGAUUGCACUAGCGCAGCAUUUAAAGGACGACUCCACGGCACCGACGGCCACGGCCUCUGUGGGGUCUCUGGUGAAGUGAGAGUGUCUCCUCAGCUCUUCGAACAGCUGCCUGUGGAAGGUGGCGGCCUCCGCCUCUCGAGCUAUCUGAGGAUCGGAGGACCAUGGAGGAAGGAAGGAAGAAAACCGAUACUCUGUGUCCUCCGUGACCUGUCAGGAUCAGGUGACCUGCCUACCUUCCAGAGCCUGUGAGAACAAUGAUGGCAGAGGCCAAGCUCUUAAAGGAGGCCUCCACAGCGCCAAUAGCAAUGGCCUCUGCGUGGUCUUUGCAGUAUGGCGUGGAACGACGCAGGUCCUCAAACACCUGCCGAUGGAACAUGGCCGCCUCAGCUUCACGUGCGAUCUGGCACAUGUGCGAGAUUGAAGAUGCAAGGAGCGAAGGUGUUUCCACACCAACAACAAGCACGUGUUAUGAUGGAGAAGAGUCGGUUGGAAAAAUUAAAACGGACAAGUGUGUCAGAGACAAAGAGGGAGACAAGUUAGAAAUGAGACAAAAAGAACAGAGUGAACAGUAAACAGAGGAACGUAACACAGUAGUGUCAGUGGAAGUAGAAAAAAUAUUCAGCAACAUUUAAACACGUUCAGUGAGAGGCCGUGCUUCAAAUCCCACACUUACCCUCUCACAAUUUAAGACAAACUUUACCACAAGUCUUUGUAUAAUGUUAAUAAAAUGUUUGAAUAUUGUAAAAAAAAAUCUAAAAGUUAUAUUAAACUAAAAAGCAAAGAAUCUAAAACAAUGGAUGAAAAAUAAAAUAAGUCAAACUCAUAAAAACUAUACUGUGUCAUUGAGGUCCAAAAGCAAGAUAGGAAUUGUAAGGCAAGCAUAGCAUUCAAAAACACACAGACAGACGGAAAGAAACAGAAGGGAUUUGAAAGGAGAACGCAGCAAAGAAGAAAUGUGUACAUGAAAACAAAGCCUUGUACACAAAAGUGUACUGUAAAAAUGUCACAUGCUUUGGAAGGUUAAGGUCAGUCAAAGUCAAGUUUAAGAAACAAACCAUGCAACAACUCAGAGGCAGAAUCUGCAGGAUCUACUGCUGAGUCACUCCUGUAUCUGCAGAGCAGUACCAACAAGUGUGGCUGCAGACUGCAGGAGACGACUGGGACAGGAGAGGACGACGGAAGACACAGAGGAAAGCUAGGAGUGUUUAAAAGUUCAUAUCCUGUCCUUGUCCAUUACUAAAAGAUAAGAGCUAAAAAACAUGCAUACAGUACAGCUGCUUAUCUUACUGUUACUCAUGAACAUAUGGACAUCUGUUACUGUUACUGUGUAGGUCAGUAGUUUAAGAAAUAAAACAGAUCCAAACUUAGUGUUUGAUAAUUAGGUGUGAAUGAAAUGUAAUCACUAACUCCAGCCUAUGACUUCCCUUUAACAGAGUAAACACAGAGGAUGACAUGCACUUCCAUUUGUCCCAGCACUGUUAAAAUGACAAUUGCUGGGACAGAUGGGAAAAGAAAAAGCUGUAACUGGACAACUAAAAGAGAUUAGGGGCUUAAAAGGCCAAGAACAACAAAAAUGUAAAUUAAAAAUAUAAUAUAUGUUUAUCUCUCAAUACCUUAAAUUCUUGUGCUCCGUUACUUUUACUAUUACUAUACUUCACUAUUAUAACCAGGGAUGUAACGAUGCAUAAAAAAACAAACAAAAAAAAACAACAAAAACUUAAAAAUUGUACGUCCAUAGACUAUGUUGACAUACUAGCCUAACUGACAUUCAGGUGUUUAAACAGAACAUGGGAAGAACCUAAAGUUUAGUGUAUCAUUACACCCCUAAUUAUUACUCGACUACGUUUAUAAUGCAUGA